rfam:Entamoeba histolytica HM-1:IMSS scf_1104750518723 genomic scaffold, whole genome shotgun sequence.
AGCGGGGUGGCGCAGUGGUAGCGCGGCAGGCUCAUAACUUGCAGGUCGGUUGAUCGAAACUUCCCUCCGCUG